rnacentral:rRNA from 1 species
UACGAAGGGGGCUAGCGUUGUUCGGAAUUACUGGGCGUAAAGGGCGCGCAGGCGGCCGCUCAAGUCAGAUGUGAAAGCCCCGGGCUCAACCUGGGAACUGCAUUUGAUACUGAGUGGCUAGAGUUCGGGAGAGGAGAGUGGAAUUCCCAGUGUAGAGGUGAAAUUCGUAGAUAUUGGGAAGAACACCGGUGGCGAGGGCGGCUCUCUGGACCGAUACUGACGCUGAGGCGCGAAAGCGUGGGGAGCGAACAGG